rnacentral:rRNA from 1 species
ACGGGUGAGUAAUGCCUAGGAAUCUGCCUGGUAGUGGGGGAUAACGUCCGGAAACGGGCGCUAAUACCGCAUACGUCCUACGGGAGAAAGUGGGGGAUCUUCGGACCUCACGCUAUCAGAUGAGCCUAGGUCGGAUUAGCUAGUUGGUGAGGUAAUGGCUCACCAAGGCUACGAUCCGUAACUGGUCUGAGAGGAUGAUCAGUCACACUGGAACUGAGACACGGUCCAGACUCCUACGGGAGGCAGCAGUGGGGAAUAUUGGACAAUGGGCGAAAGCCUGAUCCAGCCAUGCCGCGUGUGUGAAGAAGGUCUUCGGAUUGUAAAGCACUUUAAGUUGGGAGGAAGGGUACUUACCUAAUACGUGAGUAUUUUGACGUUACCGACAGAAUAAGCACCGGCUAACUCUGUGCCAGCAGCCGCGGUAAUACAGAGGGUGCAAGCGUUAAUCGGAAUUACUGGGCGUAAAGCGCGCGUAGGUGGUUUGUUAAGUUGGAUGUGAAAGCCCCGGGCUCAACCUGGGAACUGCAUCCAAAACUGGCAAGCUAGAGUAUGGUAGAGGGUGGUGGAAUUUCCUGUGUAGCGGUG